rnacentral:rRNA from 1 species
UAGGCGUAAAUAGAUGCGAGUUAAGUGUGGGGCGAUCUACGAGAUGGCCCUGUGCUGUAGGGUAGCCGUUAAACUCGCUGCCUGGGGAGUACGGUCGCAAGGCUGAAACUUAAAGGAAUUGGCGGGGGAGCACCACAAGAGGUGGAGGCUGCGGUUUAAUCGGACUCAACGCCGGGAAUCUCACCGGAUAAGACAGCUGAAUGAUAGUCGGGAUGAAGACUCUGCAUGACUAGCUGAGAGGAGGUGCAUGGCGUAGACGUCU